AGUGAACGCUGGCGGUAGGCCUAACACAUGCAAGUCGAACGACAGCACAGUAAGAGCUUGCUCUGACGGGUGGCGAGUGGCGGACGGGUGAGGAAUACAUCGGAAUCUACUUUUUCGGGGGGGAUAACGUAGGGAAACUUACGCUAAUACCGCAUACGACCUACGGGUGAAAGCAGGGGAUAUUGGUACCUUGCGCGAUUGAAUGAGCCGAUGUCGGAUUAGCUAGUUGGCGGGGUAAAGGCCCACCAAGGCGACGAUCCGUAGCUGGUCUGAGAGGAUGAUCAGCCACACUGGACCUGUAACACGGUCCAGACUCCUACGGGAGGCAGCAGUGGGGAAUAUUGGACAAGGGGCGCAAGCAUGCUCCAGCCAUACCGCGUGGGUGAAGAAGGCCUUCGGGUUGUAAAGCCCUUUUGUUGGGAAAGAAAAGCAGCAGGUUAAUACCCCGCUGUUCUGACGGUACCCAAAGAAUAAGCACCGGCUAACUUCGUG
rnacentral:rRNA from 1 species